rnacentral:rRNA from 1 species
UACGUAGGGAGCAAGCGUUGUUCGGAUUUACUGGGCGUAAAGGGCGCGUAAGCGGCCUGUCAAGUCAACUGUGAAAUCUCCGGGCUUAACUCGGAACGGUCAGUUGAUACUGUCAGGCUAGAGUGCAGAAGGGGCAAUCGGAAUUCUUGGUGUAGCGGUGAAAUGCGUAGAUAUCAAGAGGAACACCUGAGGUGAAGACGGGUUGCUGGGCUGACACUGACGCUGAGGCGCGAAAGCCAGGGGAGCAAACGGG